GACGAACGCUGGCGGCGUGCUUAACACAUGCAAGUCGAACGGAAAGACCCUGCUUUUGUGGGGUGCUCGAGUGGCGAACGGGUGAGUAACACGUGAGUAACCUGCCCUUGACUUUGGGAUAACUUCAGGAAACUGGGGCUAAUACCGGAUAGGAGCUCCUGCUGCAUGGUGGGGGUUGGAAAGUUUCGGCGGUUGGGGAUGGACUCGCGGCUUAUCAGCUUGUUGGUGGGGUAGUGGCUUACCAAGGCUUUGACGGGUAGCCGGCCUGAGAGGGUGACCGGCCACAUUGGGCCUGAGAUACGGCCCAGACUCCUACGGGAGGCAGCAGCGGGGAAUAUUGCACAAUGGGCGGAAGCCUGAUGCAGCAACGCCGCGUGCGGGAUGACGGCCUUCGGGUUGUAAACCGCUUUCGCCUGUGACGAAGCGUGAGUGACGGUAAUGGGUAAAGAAGCACCGGCUAACUACGUG
rnacentral:rRNA from 1 species